GCCUGUUUAUCAAAAACAUAGCUUGAGGUAUUUGUUAUCUUAAGUUUUACCUGCCCAAUGAUUUUUUUUUAAUGGCCGCAGUACUUUGACUGUGCUAAGGUAGCAUAAUAAUUUGACUUUUAAUUGAAGCCUGGUAUGAAAGGAGUUAUAGGAAGAUAUUGUCUNUUAUAUAUUUUUAUAAAAUUUACUGAUAAGGUGAAAAUUCCUUAAUUAUUUUUUAAUAGACGAGAAGACCCUUAGAAUUUUUAUAAUAUAUUCUUAAAGAUUUUUUUUUCGUUGGGGCAACGGCGUUGGGUAACCAAUGUAUUUAUUACAAACCGAGUAGUAGUAAAUUUGAAUAUAAUUACCUAAGGGAUAACAGCAUAAUUUUUAAAAGAUUGUGACCUCGAUGUUGGACUAAGGACUUCUAUAGCUAGACGCUAUAUAAGAUUGUUCUGUU
rnacentral:rRNA from 1 species